UCGAGAAUCUUCCGCAAUGGACGAAAGUCUGACGGAGCGACGCCGCGUGCGGGAUGAAGGCCUUCGGGUUGUAAACCGCUGUCAGAGGGGAGCAAAUGGAAACUUGAGCGAUCCUCAGAGGAAGUACGGGCUAAGUUCGUGCCAGCAGCCGCGGUAACACGAACCGUACGAACGUUAUUCGGAAUCACUGGGCUUAAAGAGUCCGUAGGCGGCUUUGUAGGUGGGGUGUGAAAGCCCACGGCUCAACCGUGGAAUUGCGCUUCAAACCACAAGACUUGAGGAAGAUAGAGGAGAGCGGAACUGAUGGUGGAGCGGUGAAAUGCGUUGAUAUUAUCAGGAACACCGGUGGCGAAGGCGGCUCUCUGGAUCUUUUCUGACGCUGAGGGACGAAAGCUAGGGGAGCGAACGGG
rnacentral:rRNA from 1 species